UGGGGAAUAUUGGACAAUGGGCGCAAGCCUGAUCCAGCCAUGCCGCGUGAGUGAUGAAGUCCCUAGGGUUGUAAAGCUCUUUCACCGGUGAAGAUAAUGACGGUAACCGGAGAAGAAGCCCCGGCUAACUUCGUGCCAGCAGCCGCGGUAAUACGAAGGGGGCUAGCGUUGUUCGGAUUUACUGGGCGUAAAGCGCACGUAGGCGGACUAUUAAGUCAGGGGUGAAAUCCCGGGGCUCAACCCCGGAACUGCCUUUGAUACUGGUAGUCUUGAGUUCGAGAGAGGUGAGUGGAAUUCCGAGUGUAGAGGUGAAAUUCGUAGAUAUUCGGAGGAACACCAGUGGCGAAGGCGGCUCACUGGCUCGAUACUGACGCUGAGGUGCGAAAGCGUGGGGAGCAAACAGG
rnacentral:rRNA from 1 species